GGGGCUGUAGCUUAGUAGUAGAGUGCUCACCUCGCAUGUGUGAGGCUCUGGGUUUGAUCCUCAGCACCA
rnacentral:tRNA from 1 species